UUUGGGGAUUAGCUCAUUUGGCUAGAGCGUCCCGAUGAAAAUCGGGAAGGCGACAGUUCGAAUCUAUACUCCGAAA
rnacentral:tRNA from 1 species